UAAGGAAUAUUGGACAAUGGAUGCAAGUCUGAUCCAGCCAUGCCGCGUGAAGGAUGAAUGCCCUCUGGGUUGUAAACUUCUUUUACAGGGGAAGAAAGUUAUCUUUUUUAGGAUAUUUGACGGUACCCUAUGAAUAAGCACCGGCUAACUCCGUGCCAGCAGCCGCGGUAAUACGGAGGGUGCAAGCGUUAUCCGGAUUCACUGGGUUUAAAGGGUGCGUAGGCGGGUAUGUAAGUCAGUGGUGAAAUACCGGAGCUUAACUUCGGAACUGCCAUUGAUACUAUAUAUCUUGAAUAUUGUGGAGGUAAGCGGAAUAUGUCAUGUAGCGGUGAAAUGCUUAGAGAUGACAUAGAACACCGAUUGCGAAGGCAGCUUGCUACGCAAAUAUUGACGCUGAGGCACGAAAGCGUGGGGAUCAAACAGGAUUAGAUACCCUGGUAGUCCACGCCCUAAACGAUGAUUACUCGACAUUAGCGAUACACGGUUAGUGUCUGAGCGAAAGCAUUAAGUAAUCCACCUGGGAAGUACGACCGCAAGGUUG
rnacentral:rRNA from 1 species